UUCUGAUUAUUAUUUUUUUUUUCUUCCGCCUCAAUUUUUUUCUUGCAUAGUAUUGAUGUUUCAAAAGAUGUCGCUUAGAUAUUUGGAAUAUGAUGUCGUAUAGUUUAUACGCUUUGAAAAUUUACAACUGCGUAACAAAAUACUUUACGUUGUAAGAGUUAUCUCCCCAAACACUGUUUUUCUUGUGGCCACUACUCCUUCGCAACCGUAAAAGAUUACGACAAAUUUAUUUUACCAAAUUGCUCGUUACAUCUUCAGGAUUAGGCAAUUCAUUUGGACCGAAGCUUUCCAGGGACUCCAUAUGAGAGUUAUUUCCCCUUAUGUAUUUGAUAUAAGCGAUUUGCAUUUCUAACUGGUAAACCAUAAGUUAUAGAGACCUGGGGUCUUUUGAUUUGAGAUCCUUGGUCCAAAAAAAUUAAAAUUAGGUCAAGGUCAAAGGUCAAGGUCAUAUUUUAAAUUUUUAUUUUGGCUUAUUUUUACUAAUUUUCAAAACCUUAUAAGAUAUCGACAAAAUAUUUUUACUAAAUUGAUAGUUGCGACAUGUUGUAACUUAUAAAUUUUGGUUGGAAGGGUGCGUACACAAUAAAUAAGAGUUUUCGCCCAUCUUAUAUUUAAAAUCAUGUCUAAAGUGAUAUAACUCAUUUACCAUACAUAUUACAGACCUAGGUUCUUUUUAUUUGAGGUUCAUGGUUGGUGACCUUGAAAUUGAGGUCAAGGUCAAAGGUUAAUAGGACGUUCUAGAUUUUGACCUUUGCUUUAAAUUCAUAUUUAUACAUUAUAGAGUCAUAGGAACUGACAUUUUAGAUUGAUUUUUAAUAUUUUGAUAAUAAAAUAGAUCUUUACUUGUGGAAAGACCUUCAAUUGUUCUUUGAACAAUUGGUUUUUAA
rnacentral:lncRNA from 1 species